GACGAACGCUGGCGGCGUGCUUAACACACGCAAGUCGAACGGAGUGGCGAACGGGUGAGUAACACGUGGGUGACCUGCCCUGCACUUCGGGAUAAGCCUGGGAAACUGGGUCUAAUACCGGAUAGUGUGGGAUGGGCCCGGGGCCUAUCAGCUUGUUGGUGGGGUAAUGGCCUACCAAGGCGGCGACGGGUAGCCGGCCUGAGAGGGUGGACGGCCACAGUGGGACUGAGACACGGCCCAGACUCCGACGGGAGGCAGCAGUGGGGAAUAUUGAACAAUGGGCGGAGGCCUGAUGCAGCCAUGCCGCGUGUGUGAAGAAGGCCUUCGGGUUGUAAAGCACUUUCAGCGGGGAGGAAGGUUAAUAACCUUGGCGAUUGACGUUACCCGCAGAAGAAGCACCGGUACGCGUGCCAGCAGCCGCGGUAAUUC
rnacentral:rRNA from 1 species